GAUUCCCCUAGUACGGCGAGUGAGCGGGAAGAGCUCAAAUUUGAAAUCUGGUAGCCUUCGGUUGCCCGAGUUGUAAUCUAGAGAAGUGUUUUCCGCGUUGGCCCAUGUACAAGUCCCUUGGAACAGGGCGUCAUAGAGGGUGAGAAUCCCGUCCUUGACAUGGACCCCCAAUGCUUUGUGAUACACUUUCAACGAGUCGAGUUGUUUGGGAAUGCAGCUCAAAAUGGGUGGUGAAUUCCAUCUAAAGCUAAAUAUUGGCGAGAGACCGAUAGCGAACAAGUACCGUGAGGGAAAGAUGAAAAGCACUUUGGAAAGAGAGUUAAACAGUACGUGAAAUUGUUGAAAGGGAAACGAUUGAAGUCAGUCAUGCUCUUUGGAUUAAGCCGUUCUGCGGUGUAUUUCAUUGAGCGGGGUCAACAUCAGUUUUGAUCGCUGGAAAAGGGCAGGAGGAAGGUAGCACUCUCGGGUGAACUUAUAGCCUCUUGUCGUAUACAGUGAUUGGGACUGAGGAACGCAGCAUGCCUUUUGGCCGGGAUUCGUCCACGUACAUGCUUAGGAUGUUGACAUAAUGGCUUUAAACGACCCGUCUUGAACAAACGGACCAAA
rnacentral:rRNA from 1 species